AAAUCCGUCCGGGGGGUCUAAGAGGUGUCGGGCCUGCCAUCAGUGGGCCGGUAGCUCAGCCUGGGAGAGCGUCGGCUUUGCAAGCCGAAGGCCCCGGGUUCGAAUCCCGGCCGGUCCACCACGAAGAGGUGCACAUCCCGAGCACUGCUCGGGGUGGAAGGGCCUGAGACCCCGAACAGGGG
rnacentral:tRNA from 1 species